rnacentral:rRNA from 1 species
GACGAACGCUGGCGGCGUGCUUAACACAUGCGAGUCGAACGGAAAGGCCCUGCUUUUGUGGGGUGCUCGAGUGGCGAACGGGUGAGUAACACGUGAGUAACCUGCCCUUGACUUUGGGAUAACUUCAGGAAACUGGGGCUAAUACCGGAUAGGAGCUCCUGCUGCAUGGUGGGGGUUGGAAAGUUUCGGCGGUUGGGGAUGGACUCGCGGCUUAUCAGCUUGUUGAUGGGGUAGUGGCUUACCAAGGCUUUGACGGGUAGCCGGCCUGAGAGGGUGACCGGCCACAUUGGGACUGAGAUACGGCCCAGACUCCUACGGGAGGCAGCAGUGGGGAAUAUUGCACAAUGGGCGGAAGCCUGAUGCAGCAACGCCGCGUGCGGGAUGACGGCCUUCGGGUUGUAAACCGCUUUCGCCUGUGACGAAGCGUGAGUGACGGUAAUGGGUAAAGAAGCACCGGCUAACUACGUG